rnacentral:tRNA from 1 species
UAUCGCAUGGUCUAGUGGUUAGGGUGUCCGUCUCGCAGGCGGAGGACCCAGGUUCGACGCCUGGUGCGAUGG